rnacentral:rRNA from 1 species
CACGUAGGAGACGAGCGUUAUCCGGAUUUACUGGGCGUAAAGCGCGUGCAGGCGGUUCGGCAAGUUGGAUGUGAAAGCUCCCGGCUUAACUGGGAGAGGUCGUUCAAUACUACCGGACUUGAGAGUGGUAGAGGGAGGUGGAAUUCCGGGUGUAGUGGUGAAAUGCGUAGAGAUCCGGAGGAACACCAGUGGCGAAAGCGGCCUCCUGGACCACUGCUGACGAUCAGACACGAAAGAUAGGGGAGCGAAUGGG